rnacentral:rRNA from 1 species
UACGUAGGGUGCGAGCGUUAAUCGGAAUUACUGGGCGUAAAAGCGUACGCAGGCGGCGCAUUAAGACAGAUGUGAAAUCCCCGGGCUCAACCUGGGAACUGCAUUUGUGACUGCAUAGCUAGAGUACGGUAGAGGGGGAUGGAAUUCCGCGUGUAGCAGUGAAAUGCGUAGAUAUGCGGAGGAACACCCGUGGGCGAAGGCGGCUCUCUGGGACGGUACUGACGCUGAGACGCGAAAGCGUGGGGAGCAAACAGG